GACGACGCUGGCGGCGUGGAUUAGGCAUGCAAGUCGAACGGUAGGAGUACCUUCGGGUAUCGUGAGAGUGGCGAACGGGUGAGUAACACGUAGGUGAUCUACCCUCAAGAUUGGGACAACCCAGGGGAAACUUGGGCGUAAUACCGGAUGAAAGCAGCAGUGAUGUUGUUUGAAAGGUGGCGUAAGCUGCCGUUUGGGGAUGAGCCUGCGCUCUAUUAGUUAGUUGGCGGGGUAAGGGCCCACCAAGGCGAUGAUAGAUAGGCGGCCUUAACGGGUGGUCGCCCACACUGGGAUUGAGAUACGGCCCAGACUCCUACGGGAGGCAGCAGUCGAGAAUAGUCUACAAUGGCCGAAAGGCUGAUAGUGCGACGCCGCGUGAACGAAGAAGCCCUUCGGGGUGUAAAGUUCUUUUAUAUGUGAGCAGUGCUUUCUAUGUGAACAGCAUGGGGAGAGAGAUAUUAGCAUAUGAAUAAGCAACGGCUAACUCCGUG
rnacentral:rRNA from 1 species